rnacentral:rRNA from 1 species
UACGUAGGUGGCAAGCGUUGUCCGGAGUUAUUGGGCGUAAAGCGCGCGCAGGCGGUUGGAUAAGUCCAUGGUGAAAGCGCCUGGCUCAACUAGGCGAGUGCCGUGGGGACUGUUCAGCUGGAGUGGAGCAGAGGCGAGUGGAAUUCCGGGUGUAGUGGUGAAAUGCGUAGAGAUCCGGAGGAACACCAGAGGCGAAGGCGGCUCGCUGGGCUUUGACUGACGCUGAGGCGCGAAAGCGUGGGAGCGAACCGG